rnacentral:rRNA from 1 species
UUGAAAGGGAAACGAUUGAAGUCAGUCGUACCUUCGGGUAAUCAGCCUUUCGGGUGCGAUUCUGUGGAGCGUGAGGAGUUAAACGCCUUCAUGCCUGCAUAUUCGUGCACUUUGGGUGUACUUGCCCGUGUGGUAGGUUAACAUCAAUUUCGGAUAUCAUAAAAUGGCUGGAGGAAUGUAGCUUCGGUCUCGUACUGAAGUGUUAUAGCCUCUGGUAGAUGUGAUGAUCGGGACUGAGGAUUGCAACGAAUACCCUUUGGGCUAUCCGUCUGACCUCUGAAAGUUGCUCAGGUGCCGAAAGCUUGCUUACGGUCAUCUAAGUUGACGGUCAAUAGGUUAGAACGUGAUUACAUUCGUUAAGGAUGUUGACGUA